ACUAGGGAUCGGGCGAUCUCAAUUAUAGAUGUGUCGCUCGGAACCUUACGAGAAAUCAAAGUCUUUGGGUACUGGGGGGAGUAUGGUCGCAAGGCUGANACUUUAAGGAAUUGACGGAAGGGUACCACCAGGUUUGGAGCCUGNGGCUUAAUUUGACUCAACACGGGGAAACUCACCAGGUCCAGACAUAACUAGGAUUGACAGAUUGAUAGCUCUUUCAUGAUUUUAUGG
rnacentral:rRNA from 1 species